GAUGAACGCUGGCGGCGUGCUUAACACAUGCAAGUCGAGCGAGAAGUUUUGAACAGAUUCUUCGGAUGAAAUUUAAAAUGGAAAGCGGCGGACGGGUGAGUAACGCGUAGGCAACCUGCCCCAUACAAAGGGAUAGCAUUUGGAAACGAAUAUUAAUACCUUAUGAAACUUAACUAGUGCAUGCUAGGUAGGUCAAAGAUUUAUCGGUAUGGGAUGGGCCUGCGUCUGAUUAGCUAGUUGGUGAGGUAACGGCUCACCAAGGCGACGAUCAGUAGCCGACCUGGGAGGGUGAACGGCCAAAUUGGAACUGAGGCACGGUCCAAACUCCUACGGGAGGGAGCAGUGGGGAAUAUUGCACAAUGGGGGAAACCCUGAUGCAGCAACGCCGCGUGAACGAUGAAGGCCUUUGGGUCGUAAAGUUCUGUUCUAGGUGAUGAAAACUGACAGUAACCUAGGAGAAAGCCCCGGCUAACUCCGUG
rnacentral:rRNA from 1 species